GUUCAGAUGUCACACUAACCAGAACUCCCCACAGAAACCAGCAGCAGAGCCACAGCGAGCAGAACCCUCGGAACCGACAGAACCUCCAUCCUGCAGCACUGAAGACGGACUGAAGACAGAAAACUGGAGCUCAGAAGUGAAUGUUGUCGACCUCUUCACUGUCAAGAACUCCUAAAGGCUUCAACAUUGCAGCUGUUAUGCAGAAACACUACGUAAUGGUCCAACAUUAAUGGUGCCCCACGUGAGGCCCAACACAGACUCAACACACUCAGCUCCUGCAGCUACACUGCAAGGAAAACAUGCACUGGAACUGGAAGGAGCUCAACUCAAACGUAGGAUGGGAAGAACAGAAGUGGAACUGAACCUGGCUGAAGCUGAAGAACAACUGAAAGUCUUGGAAAACUUUGAGUCUGGUUCACAAACCAAGCCAGCAUUGUUUCAACCACAACCACAGAGCGGUGGUAUGAUUGAUUACCUGAAAUAUUAUCGAGGAAAAUCUGAUGUAUCAGUGUGUUCAGAACCAUCUCCUGUUAAGUUUACUGGGAUCGGAACCGCUACAGAUGACCCAGACGACCUUGAGCCCCUCACUCCAAAUCAUCUACUAGUAAACACAAGUCCACUCACGGCCCGGACUGUUCCACAGAGACGACCUGUAUUCACAGGGAAGGUGGAGGCAGGUCCAACACUUUGCCGACUGGUUUUCAGCAUCCAGCUGCUGCUGGAUGAGCUGACUGAGGCUAUAAACACAUCAGAGUGACAGACGGACACAAACAUGCACUCGUGAUCCUGCAGAGACUCUGUAAGAUCACAUCACAUGGACUGUGGACUGG